rnacentral:lncRNA from 10 species
AAUUGACAGGACUGGCGGAUAGAUCAGAUGUUGUCAUUAGUGGAAAAGAGAUCAAAGAUGUCUAAAUUUUUGUUUCUAAUAUCUUGGUGGAUGGUGAUGACUUUAGCUAAGUAGAAAAAAUCUGAAAGAGAAGCAGAUGUGUAUGUGUGUAUGUGUGUAUUUAUGUGUACAUGUGUCUGUAUGUGUGUGUGUGUGUACAAGAAAGAUAAAGGAGAAUGAGAGCAAGAUAAUAAAAAGUUAGAUAUAAAAGUCCAGUAUUGGAAGAUGUCAGAGGUAUAGAGAAAGAUUUAGGCAGCCAACAAAUACAUACUGAUAAAUAUUUUGAAAUCUUAUAAGUGUUAACAGAUGGGUAUGUUACUUGGCUGCUGGAAAGGUCAUGUUACUGA